UACGUAGGCGCAAGCGUUAUCCGGAAUUAUUGGCGUAAGAGCUCGUAGCGUUGUCGCGUCUGCCGUGAAGUCGGCUCACUCGAUCUGCGGUGGUACGGCAGACUAGAGUGAUGUAGGAGACGUGAUCCUGUGUAGCGUGAAUGCGCAGAUAUCAGAGACACGUGCGAAGCGGUCUCUGCGUAGCUGACUGACGCUGAGAGCGAAGCGUGGGAGCGACAGAUAGACUACGUAGUCAGUCAGACAGU
rnacentral:rRNA from 1 species